GACGAACGCUGGCGGCGUGCUUAACACAUGCAAGUCGAACGGGGUCCAGCCGGUAGCAAUACCGGUGAAGACCUAGUGGCGAACGGGUGAGUAACACGUGAGCAACCUGCCCCGGAGACCGGGAUAACAGCGGGAAACCGCUGCUAAUACCGGAUGUCCCCACCGAAUCGCAUGGCUCGGUGAGGAAAUGGAUUCCGCUUCGGGAGGGGCUCGCGGCCUAUCAGCUUGUUGGUGAGGUAAUGGCUCACCAAGGCGACGACGGGUAGCUGGUCUGAGA
rnacentral:rRNA from 1 species